GAUAAGAACGUAGCGAAAUGCGAUAAGUAAUGUGAAUUGCAGAAUUCAGUGAAUCAUCGAAUCUUUGAACGCACAUUGCGCCCGCCAGUAUUCUGGCGGGCAUGCCUGUUCGAGCGUCAUUUCAACCAUCAAGCCCCCCGGCUUGUGUUGGGGACCUGCGGCUGCCGCAGGCCCUGAAAAGCAGUGGCGGGCUCGCUGUCACACCGAGCGUAGUAGAUCUCAUCUCGCUCAGGGCGUGCUGCGGGUUCCGGCCGUUAAACCACCUUCAUAACCCAAGGUUGACCUCGGAUCAGGUAGGAAGACCCGCUGAACUUAAGCAUAUCAAUAAGCGGAGGA
rnacentral:misc_RNA from 1 species